CGCGCAGCCCCGGGCUGGACACUGCCGCCCGCCCCGCGGGCCGCUGAGAACUGCUCUACCCCUCCGUUCUGGCCGCCGGGAGCAGCUGAGCUCGGGGCGGGCAAAGCUCGAGGGGACACGGGGACAUCCUGACACCCUCCCACGAGGACACUCACCACCAAGGCCGGGACCGAAAGACCGAGCCGCUGCGCGCUGCGUUAAUACAGCCAUCCGGGAGAGGGGCGGAGCUGCCCCCCCCCCCCGAGACCUGCAACCAAUCAGAGGGCCGCUUGGAGGGGGCAGAACAGGAAAAGGAGAGCAGCCAAUCGUCAGAAGGAUUGUAGGCGUGGCUGGUAUGGGAAGCCAAUCGUCGGGACGUUUCGGACCCGGUAGGGUGGGGCCGUUGACUUCCAGCAGCAGGUUCUCCACCCACUGCGGUGUUGGAAGCGUUGAGGCUGUGCUCAGUGGAAACCUUCCUUUCCUGAAGCUAUGCCGGUGCUAGAUCAUUUUGCAGUCAGCGUCUUAUUGGAAAAAGAAGCCCCAUGGGGCUGGAGAGAUGGCUCAGCAGUUAAGAGCACUUGCUUCUCUUGCGGUUCCUCGCACCCACUACCUGCAACGCCAGGCUCCAGCUCCACAGUCCCCUUUGGACAACAACAAGUUCACACAAACACACACACA
rnacentral:lncRNA from 1 species